rnacentral:rRNA from 1 species
CCUACGGGAGGCAGCAGUGGGGAAUCUUGCGCAAUGGGCGAAAGCCUGACGCAGCCAUGCCGCGUGAAUGAUGAAGGUCUUAGGAUUGUAAAAUUCUUUCACCGGGGACGAUAAUGACGGUACCCGGAGAAGAAGCCCCGGCUAACUUCGUGCCAGCAGCCGCGGUAAUACGAAGGGGGCUAGCGUUGCUCGGAAUUACUGGGCGUAAAGGGAGCGUAGGCGGAUAGUUUAGUCAGAGGUGAAAGCCCAGGGCUCAACCUUGGAAUUGCCUUUGAUACUGGCUAUCUUGAGUACGGAAGAGGUAUGUGGAACUCCGAGUGUAGAGGUGAAAUUCGUAGAUAUUCGGAAGAACACCAGUGGCGAAGGCGACAUACUGGUCCGUUACUGACGCUGAGGCUCGAAAGCGUGGGGAGCAAACAGGAUUAGAUACCCUGGUAGUCCACGCUGUAAACGAUGAGUGCUAGUUGUCGGCAUGCAUGCAUGUCGGUGACGCAGCUACGACAUAAGACACUCCGCCGUCGGGAGGUACGGUCGCGAGAUAAACUACAAGAAGUAGACGGCGNGAGACGUGCCGACGGACGACGACGAGGGAGGUAGG